ensembl:lncRNA
GGAGGAGUGCUCUUUCCUUUUUGUGCGACAACCGCCGGUCUGUCGCCACAAUACAUGUAAAUAGAAAUGUGAAAUAUACAUUUUAAAUAUAAAUGUACAUAUUACAAAUAAUGCAAAUCUUAAUUGUAAUUGUAGAACUUAAAUGUUUUAUUCGUAUGUUAAUUGACCCCGCCCUCACGGAAUGUGCAUCAUGUGAAAACACAGCACCGAUAGGUUUUCCAGGUUUGCAACAGACUGUGCUAGUUUUGGAACAAGGUUGAUGCUGCACAAAGCUGGUGGCAUUUUUGGGCUGAAUUAAAACAGUCCACAGCCUCCAAGACCUUGUUUCACAGCAAAUAAGUGGAAUUAAAUCAAACCAGUUUCUACAAACAUAUGCUAUAGCAAAGGGAAAAUCUGAAUGCAGACAGUGUAGACCUAUCUACAAUGUACAGAAUCAUUUCUGAUCUUUACGGAAGUCCAGAAAUGUCCAUACGUUUUGUUUUUUUCUUGUGAACUUAAAAUGGCAAAUGUUGUUUUCUCAAGAUCACAACUUAUUUUUCACAUUAUGUUGAAAUACAUGAUUAGGCAUGUAUUCUGUACUGCAUGGAUGAGUGUGAACAUUUAUAUUUUAAUCAGCGAGUGCUGCAGGAGGUAACAGGUGGUUUCUUCUUUCAUUUUCCAAAAUCAUGGGUCUGAGUCUGUGCUUGGGUGAGUGGGUGGAGUUUCAUUUUAUUUUUCAUCUUGCGGAUCAAUAAAGUGCAUCUCUCUAUCCUAGGGCACUGGCCCCCUGUGAAAUCCUGUUGGCCACCCCAGGUGCCCCCAUACCAGAUGUCUUGUAAUUGGCUUGGUUUUAUGCCAGUCAGUUUCUAACUGUUUCUGGUGAAAUUAGCAAUUGAAAACAUUUCAGUGCUCAAAUCUGGCGAUGGUCAUGUACAUCUGAUUACAUUAUCAAACGUAUGUAAAUGCAUAUAAAAAAAAAAAAAAAAGUUUUUAGUUUGUAGAUAUAAGGUCUGAUUGAUGUGCUGUCCAAAUAGGUGCCAUCAUUAGGCUGAAAAACAAAACACAUAUAAGAGAGAGGGCAGAAUCUUUAGAAGUGGCUAAAUCAACAAUUUGGUAAAUUCUUAAAAAGAAGGAAUGCACUGGUGAGCUCAGCAACACCAAAAUGCCUGGAAGACCAUGAAAGACAACUAAAGUGGAUUGGAGAAAUCUUGCCUUGAUGAAGAAAAACAUCUAGCCAAGUCAAGAACACUCUGGAAUAAUAAUACAAUAUGUUUAAUUUAUAUAGCACCUUUCCAGAGCUCAAGGAUGCUUUACAAUAGCAAUAUAAUGAUACCUAAACAAUGAACAAUCAUGGACAAACACAGUAUGUGAAAAAUCAACAUGAACAAUCAACCACAGAGAGUGAAAAACACAGUACAGAUAGUACAGUCAUAGAGAGAAAAUGCAUAGCAAUAGAUUAUGACACAUAACAUUGAAAACAGAUAUGUUUUAAGUUGGGAUUUGAACUCUGAGAUGGAAUGUGAUGCUGUGAUAAGUCAGAGGGAGUGAAUUCCAGAUUUUGGGUGUUACAAUACUAUGCCACCCAUAGUAGAGAAAUGAGAUCUAGGGACAGAGAGGAGUCUGAGUCCAGAGGACCUGGGAAAGCGGGUCGGGUUAUAGGGGAGGUUGUUUAGUGAUCCGUCAUAUUGGUUAGAUUUCAUCUGAUAAUUGCAACUUCAUAUGCUGCCAUACUGGUUUGGCUGAUGCUGCAUUUGGUGCUCUUGAGGGGUUGCAGUGUUCACUGGGCUUGUAGUAAUGUGAGAACUUUAGAGGAUGUCAGAAUAUUUUAGAGUUUCUUUUUGGGUGUCUAGAACUUGCGAGGCAGUAUUGGGCCUGUGUGCAGUGACUGCUCAUCCAUAGGUUCAGGUGAGCCCCACCAGCCAUUCAACAAAUAUUAAUCUCCAUGAAGUAUUCAUUCACAACUCCAUACAUUUCAAAGUCUGUUGAAAUACAAAUGACCUAUUUUGAGUGGCCAAUGAUUUUAAAAAUGUCACUAUUUGACAGAUAUAAGCAAAUGUUCCAUUGAUUUACUCACUUUUCUAGAUGUUGUGCAAUCAUGCACUCACUUCCCCACUUAGCUUCUAUAGAUGUAUUAUUGCACCUAUUAGGAACUGUAAAAAUAGGAACUGCAACAAGCUAUGAAUAAUUUUGAUUGCAACUGUAGAUGUGUUAAACAACUGGAAACAUGGCAGACUCUGUUUGAAGUGAGAGAAAAUAUUGGAACAUGAGACUGACUGAUGUUUCUUGUUGCCCAGGUGUGCCCUGUUAGAUCUAAAUGUCUUCUCUUGGUUUGAGCCCUGGUUUUCACCUGUAAAGACUGCAUUUGUUGUUAAUAAGGAUAAUCCAGCACAAAGACCAGAGAGCUUCCUAUGGGAGAAAAGCAAACCAUUUUGAAGUUAAAAAUUGAUCAGAGCCAUUGUACAAGCAUUGGGCAUAGCUAAUAGAAUAAUUUAGAAUUUCCUGAAAAAGAAAGAAACCACCGCUGUACUAACAACAACAGCGGACAUGGAACAGAUCAGCCAAGGUAAACAACAGCAGUUGAUGAAACAAACACUGAGUUUAAUCAACAACCUCCACAGGGCAGAGGUGAAGAUAUCACAAUCCACCAUUUGAAGAAGACUUUAAGAGCACAAAUAUAGAGGCCAUACCACAAGAUGCAAACCACUCAUCAUCAGUAAGUAUUGGAAGACCAGAUUGGAAUUGACAAAGAAAUACAGAGAUGAGCUCCAAAAGUUCUGGAACCAAGAUUAACCUCUACCAAAUUCAAUUCAGUUUUAUUUGUACCGCAAUUUUAACAAUGGACAUUGUCUCAAAGCAGCUUUACAAAAAUAUAUAAAUUCAGGAUAUAGAUUUUAAAUGUAUGAAUUUAUCCCUAAUGAGCAAGCCAGAGGUGACUGUGGCAAGGACCUAGACCUAUCAUGGCAAUUGUAGUCCUACACCAUCAUAGCAUCACUGUUCAGUGAUGUCCAAAGCCAUCUUCAUGGUUUUAAAGUGGUAUCAUCCUCAGUAGUCUCAAUGAUCUUUAGGCCUCACCAUGUGGGGCCAUCCUCAGCAGCAGCGAGUGACUUCCAAAUGAUGAGAACUCCAACCAGAAGUGGAGCCUCAGCAUGGAUUGAGAAGGUCUGGAGAUCAGAAGGGGUCAGGUUCACUGGCAUAGGAGUAGCAUGUGUAGCUGGACACACACAGAGACACAGAGAGAGAGAGAGAGAGAGAGAGAGAGAGAGAAUGAAUAUUGUGUGUGUUUAUGGUCCCAAAAUGAUUAAGAACAAUGUAUUUUGCAUGCAGAGUGAAAGCAGGGACUCUGGCAAGACUAACUAUGACAGCAUAAUUAAAAGGGAGAACCAGAAGGAACACAGGCAUGAGGAUGCCUGGGACAUAAGGCAGCCAGUCACUCAUGAGAGAGGGGGUGACAGCAUCCAAACAUCCCAGAUCUCCACAGUACUCUAUGCCAGUGAGCCCUCCCAAUCUGCUCCUUUAUCUAAGAAAAAAACUAUUCACAAAAGGCUUGACUAAACAAAUGUUUUCAGCCUGGACCUAAACACUGAGUCUGUGUCUGAGUCCUGAACACUAACUGAAAGGCUGUUACAUAACUGUGGGGCUUUGUAAGAGAAAGAUCUAACCCCUGUUGAAGCCUUCAAUAUUUGAGGUACCAACAAAUAGCGUGUACCUUUUGAUAGAAGUAGGCAUGGCAGAUCAUAAAAGACAAAUAUUUCGCUCACGUACUAUGGCCCAUUUAGUGCUUUAUAGGUCAAUAGUAGUAUUUUAUAAUCAAUGUGAAAUUUUACUGGGAGCCCAUGCAAUGUGGAUAAGACAGGGGUGAUGUAGUCAUAUCUUCUGGUUCUAGUAAGGACAUUUGCAGACUAUAAGGCAUUACAAUAAUCCAAUCUAGAGUUACCAAAGAGCUGGGAAGGUCAAAAUGUGGAGAAAGUUAGGAUUGGCUCAUGAUACAAGCAUUCAAGCGCACCUAUCAAGCACAGUGGAUUUAGUGUCAUGGAUUGAGCUUGCAUGGCUGCUUCUGUAAUGGGCUCACUAAUCUUUAUUGAUGAUGUAACUAAUGAGGCUAGCAGCAGAAUGAAUUCAGAAGUCUACAGAAACAUUCUGUUGGGUAAUUUACUGAGAAAUACAAUAAAUCUAAAUGUGAGGAAGUUCAUCAUGUAGCAAGACAAUGACCCAAAACACAAUCCUAACACAUCAGAGGAUUUCAUCAGGGGAUAAAAGUGGAAGGUUUUAGACUGACCAAGUCAAUCACCAGACCUUAACCCAGUUGAGCAUGAAGGUCACCUCUUGAAGAGGAGACUGAAGGCAAAAGACAAACAACUGAAAGAAGCUCCGGUACAAGCCUGAAAAAGAAUCACAAAAGAAGAAUGCAACAGUUUGGUAAUGCCAGUGGGUCAACGGUUUAAUGCAGUUAUUGCAAGCAAGGGAUAUGCAACCAAAUAUAAAGUGUUAUUUACUUAAAGUAAAUUAAAGGCUAUCUGCACCUACACCUAUACUCGCAUAAAAAUUGGGUGGUCUGCCACCAAACAUGCCAUGUUCUAUGUUGUUUAACACAUGUAGAUGUAAAUUUCAGGAAAUCAAAGCUGAAAUUCUGAUCUAUCGUAUCAUAUUCAUCUUUUGAUCUCAAAUCUAAAUGUCUUCAGUGUAUAGCAAAAACAAAUAUUUGGCCUUGCUGUUCCAAUAUUCUUUGACUGCUUUUAAGAUUUAUUAACAUCUGCACAAAGUGUGCUGCCAUCCUGUUAGUUGAGGGAUGGGAUGUUGCAGAACCGAUAUGCUUCAAAACGUUCAACUUGAGCAUCGCAAACUCCUCAGAGCAAAACUAAGGACCAUUGUGACCAACAAGGAUUUGGUGAACCUCAUGGCAACUGAAGAGACCCCUCAAGACUUUGGUGUUUUCUUCUAAUUGUUCUAUUUCUAAUUGUUUUGACCAUGCAGUAUACUUCUUGCCACUUGAUGUGAGCAUCUAUUAAUGUUAAAUUGAUGUGUAUUUUUUUUCUAUGGUCUAGUUGGCCAUAUCAUGGGGGAAGUGAUGGUAGACAUGGGGUGAUUUGUAUCCACUGGCAGUUUGAUCUGGCCAACAAUGCCCAACUAUCAGAUAUUACUGUGUGCAUUUGCUCAUUUGGCUUCAACUGUAACAGGAUACAACUAAGGAGUUGAAGGUUAAGGCUCUUGAUCAAGGACCCUACAAUGGCAGCUUGGUGGUGCUGAUAUCUGAACUCACAACCUUCCAGUUAGUAGCCCAAAGUCUUACUGACUGAGCCAUCACUUUGCAUGUAUGUUAAGCUAUUCAUCUGUGCCACUCCUGGGGAGCACACGUGCAGUUCUACAAAUACACAGGGGCAGAGCUUAAGAGGCACCACAAUACGACAGCCUCCACUGAAUUAAUUGCAGCAAGCCAUGAAGGGUGACAGCGCUUCUUCUGAUAUCCUUGUCAAUUUGAAAAUCCCCUGUAGAAACCAUGUCCAUGACCGUAGACAUUAUGGAGUUAGGAAGUGGGUCAUUCCUUUGCUACUUAUACUUGCAGAUUGGCUACUGAUUGACAUAGAACGUAUUCACUGUGUCUGUGACCUUUUUGGGUGUCAGUGUAAAUGGUAGAUCUGAUAGUCUAUCAGCAUUUGCAUACAAAACUGCUUUCCUAUACUCAUACUCAUGAGCAGCAAAUAAAAUUUCACACUCUUCCAUCCUAGCUGCAACUGUUGGUGGAUCACUUUUGUGGUGCUUAAGAUAGUAGUCAAAGGCUGAUGGACAGUAAUUAGAACCAACUACCUCCCAAACAGAUAAUGGUGGAAUUUGCUUCAAAAGCUAUACCCAGAGCCUUACACACAAUUUGAGUAUAGUUAUGUUCCCAUUUAUGAUGGGCAUUUUUCAUUAUUAGCCAAGAUGUGUGAGAUAAUGUCAUCCACAACAUGCAGUGAAGCAUCACAGGCAUUUAACCAAUGGGUAAAUUAUGGGUGUAAUGGAUCAGUACUCUUUCUGACACCAACAAUUUGAC